GUGUUGAGGGUGUUUAAAAACCCUUUCCUUCCCCUCUCCCCAGGGAAUUCCUUGGGGAAACUGGUGGGAGGAAUACUGUUGGAAAUUUCAUUUUCUAUUAUGAGUUAUCAGUGACAGAGAGUACGUGUGUGUUUGCAUGUUCUGGCAAUACUGGUGUCUGAUGUGUGACCUGUUUUUUAUUAAAGUUAUAGCUUUUGCAGGGAGUUAGGGUUAUUAUUGUGCUUUGAGAGAACAGUUGUCAAACUUGGACUCACUCUGGCAUGUUGAAGGUGAUUUCAGGUUCUUUGCCCAGGAGAUGUAUAUGCUAAUAGGAAAAAUGCUCUUUCUUCUCUUCAGGCCAAGUUCAGAAAGAUUAUACUAGCUCUGUGGAUUGCAAAAGGAAAAUAAAAGAACAGACAUGGCCUGGGAGGCAGAUUUGGAAGGGAAGAAAAAGGAAAAAAAGUGAAGGCAAUAAAAAUGAAGACACCUGGCUUGGGAAUCUUCACCCAUCACUGGAGCCACUGCCACUUGGAAGGAGCCGGUUGUCUCCCUGGACCUGAGGUAAGGUUUCCCACUUAGUGAUUCCCUUCUUACAGACUACACCUGCAUUUUCAUUUUUGCCUGCCCCAUUGGAUGGUAACAAAAAUACUUGCGACUUUUCAGUGUUACUUACCUUAAAAUUAAAAAAAAAAUCAGGAAACUUCAAAUAUGAUAUUGUUUAACAAAUACAAUGACAAUUCUUUGAAAUCUGACUGCUUUGGUCCUUAAAUAGAUACCAUUACCUUUCAUUACUUAGAACUGCCUCUGAGGAUGGUUUGCAAUUUAAAUACGUAAAACCACUAGAAUGAGUAAUAGGAAAAUCAAUCUUUAUUCUCUCAGAUUAAAUAAACUUGCUCAUGAAAAAUACCUUAUGUGGACACCAAAAUGUAGCUAGAGCUGUUUUUCUGGAGGUCAUUAGACAACAGUGGAUAAAUCUUUUAAAGUAGGUGAUUUCUUUUUGUGGGAAGGCUGAUCCAUGGGAGCC
rnacentral:lncRNA from 1 species